AGAGUUUGAUGGUGGCUCAGGAUGAACGCUGGCGGCGUGCUUAACACAUGCAAGUCGAGCGAAGCACUUAAGUUUGAUUCUUCGGAUGAAGACUUUUGUGACUGAGCGGCGGACGGGUGAGUAACGCGUGGGUAACCUGCCUCAUACAGGGGGAUAACAGUUAGAAAUGGCUGCUAAUACCGCAUAAGACCACGGUACUGCAUGGUACAGUGGUAAAAACUCCGGUGGUAUGAGAUGGACCCGCGUCUGAUUAGGUAGUUGGUGAGGUAACGGCCCACCAAGCCGACGAUCAGUAGCCGACCUGAGAGGGUGACCGGCCACAUUGGGACUGAGACACGGCCCAGACUCCUACGGGAGGCAGCAGUGGGGAAUAUUGCACAAUGGGCGAAAGCCUGAUGCAGCGACGCCGCGUGAAGGAUGAAGUAUUUCGGUAUGUAAACUUCUAUCAGCAGGGAAGAAAAUGACGGUACCUGACUAAGAAGCCCCGGCUAACUACGUGCCAGCAGCCGCGGUAAUACGUAGGGGGCAAGCGUUAUCCGGAUUUACUGGGUGUAAAGGGAGCGUAGACGGCUGUGCAAGUCUGAAGUGAAAGGCAUGGGCUCAACCUGUGGACUGCUUUGGAAACUGUGCAGCUAGAGUGUCGGAGAGGUAAGUGGAAUUCCUAGUGUAGCGGUGAAAUGCGUAGAUAUUAGGAGGAACACCAGUGGCGAAGGCGGCUUACUGGACGAUGACUGACGUUGAGGCUCGAAAGCGUGGGGAGCAAAGCAGGAUUAUGAUACCCUGGUAGUCCACGCCGUAAACGAUGACUGCUAGGUGUCGGGUAGCAAAGCUAUUCGGUGCCGCAGCUAACGCAAUAA
rnacentral:rRNA from 1 species